UAACACGGGCGCCGAUUGUGUAGAAGAACAUUCAGGAAAAAUUACCAUUUAGAAAACGCUUAUUUGGAACAAAAUUAUUUUUCUAUUAAAAGAAGGAGACCUAGGCCUAACCUCCCAAUAGUCAUGCCUAUAGAUACUCAAGCAGUUAUAAAUGUUAUUGCCAGUAAGGUGAUGGGUGAAUAACACCGGGUACUUGUUGGGACAUUUCUUCUUCACCUACUAAUACCUAGGGAUCGGAUUCAAUACUAGUCACAAGCGCAAGCUCGGUAGUCAGUGGUUAUGCCGCCAGGCUAGUUAUCUGGCAGUCGUGGUUCGAUUCCCACCCGAAUCACUUGCGAAUUAUAUUCGCAAAUAUCUGGGAUCGUACUGAGUAUUCGGUACGAUAACAGGUAGAAGGGCAAAACAUAACUCCUAUGAUAUUUUCCUGACGCAAACCCACAUCGAAAUAAUAUGAAUAAUAAUAUGAAUAAUAAAGAUUAUUUUAUAAUGAAUUCCAUGUAUCAUUUUAAUAGAUAUUGAUGAGUCAUCUUUUCUCCCUCAUUUGACUGGUGCCGUACAAAGGGAUACUGAGAGCACUGCAGAUGUGUUCAAAGAAACUGUCGACUUUGUGAGCAACAGUCUAGACGAUUUACGCAAUGUUGAUAGUCGGUACGUCAAGAAUUCAGCAUUAGACCCGAAGAAUGGGAUUUUACAGGAGGGCGAGUACAGGAGGCUUUUUGAAAGAAUUCAAGGCGUUAUUAAUUAUCU